rnacentral:rRNA from 1 species
CUGUCUAAGGAGGUCCUCGUCCAAGUUGCAUCGCUCGAGUCAUCCCAUGCGAUCUGGACCGCUUUGGCCACCAUGUUCUCUGCCGUGUCGUUGUCCCGUGCCAACAACCUCUAUGCCGCGGUCAACAACACAUAGAAGGGCUCCCUGUCAGCCUCCACCUACUUCAGCCACAUGCGCUCCCUCUCCGAUGAGCUCGCGACGACGGGCAAACCACUUUGGGAGGGGGAGCUCAUCUCCUUCAUCAUCGCCGGUCUUGACAUGGAUUACCAACCCAUCAUCUCUGCGCUAGACGUCCGCAUCGAGCCCAUCACCGUCGACGGUCUUUUCUCCCUCGUGGCGAACUUUGAUCAGCGCAUGGAGAUGUUUCAUGGCACUGGUAAUGGCGGCUUCAAGUCGUCCGCCAAUGCUGCCUCGCGGGGCUGUUCUGAUGGCGGCAAAGGUGGCUACCGGAAAGGCGGGGGUGGUGGCCCUCACGACAGUGGCGAUGGCGGAUAUGGCGCGAACACCAGCGGCAGUGGCUACAACACUUCUGGUGGUGGCUACGGCGCUGCUGGUGGCUACAACACAGUGGGACGCGGCUGCGGCUACAACCCUAACCCUAAUUCUGGCGGUGACUAUGGCUUCCACCAGAACAACGGAGGGCUACCAAGGGUCUGGUCCUGGUGGCGGUGGCCAUUAUCACCAGAACCCUUCUAG